CAGAGGGUGCAAGCGUUGCUCGGAUUUACUGGGCGUAAAGCGUACGCAGACGGUGAGAAAGGUCGAAUGUGAAAGCCCCGGGCUCAACCCGGGAACUGCAUCCGAAACCAUCUCGCUAGAGUAUGAGAGAGGGAAGCAGAAUUCCUGGUGUAGAGGUGAAAUUCGUAGAUAUCAGGAGGAAUACCUGCGGCGAAGGCGGCUUCCUGGCUCAUUACUGACGUUCAGGUACGAAAGCGUGGGUAGCAAACAGGAUUAGAUACCCUGGUAGUCCACGCUGUAAACGAUGUGUGCUGGAUGUCGGGGGUAUUCACCCCCUCGGUAUCGAAGCUAACGCGAUAAGCACACCGCCUGGGGAGUACGGCCGCAAGGUUG
rnacentral:rRNA from 1 species